GGAUUAGCGGAAACAGUCGGAGCUGUGUGCUGCCAUUGCACGUGUUUGUGUGUGUGUGUGUGUGUGUGUGUGUCUUAAAAUGAGGGGGUUGGUUAGUCAGAAGUGGUGGUGCUGCUCCUAAUCUUCUUUAGCAGCUGCCAUCUGUUUUGACACACUGUUUCUUUUUGCCCGGUUUCCUCCUCAGCCUCUGUCGACUCUUUAUUUUAUUUUUCUUUUAAUCGCCGCGUGCUCACGAGCAAGGGAAGUCCCUCUGUCAAGAUUCUCGCUCAGAAUUUUGUUCACACUUCCUUCCUGCCGUUGUCUGUGCAAAGUCUAUCGCGGUAUUUGUCAGUGUUUUGGAAAAGCAGCUGUCAUGAGUUUUUCCUUUUGUCUUCGUCUUUUUCCCAAAUAUGGCAGCAUCGGGAUUCCUCCGUGGUCUGUUAUCUUCAAAUGGCCAUUGCUCUAUGCCAGGGCCAUGACUUUCAGUGUCUUUAUUUACAGCCGCUUUCAACAAUUGCAUAACAUUUUAUCGUGUUGAUCAGACGAGGAAAUCCUCUUUUUCUUUUUUGGUUUUUGUCCCUCGUGCUUUGUACUCGCAACAACCUUGAUAGGAAAUUCGAGCAAAAACAGACAGCUGCUGGCGCUCCGCCAUCGACAGGACACACGUGUUUGGCCUUGGCAGAGGUCUGCGCUCCACUGACUGCUUGAGCCAAGUCCCUGGUGGAAAGUGAUCACAUCCUCAUCUACAAAUAACCUAUUUCCCCACCAGGCGCCUCGAUGAUGAAACUACCAGGAAGUCAAUCAACUACAAAUCCCGCUGGCUGUUUCUCAGGCAAAAUCAAGACAUAUGGAGGGACUAUGGGACAUUGACGGCACCCAACGCAGAUGUGAAGAAGUUCCCAGGUACAAUGGUCACUGUAUACCGCUGGACUACGCCGCUUUGAAUUGAGGUCCCCUGCUUGACUACAUUGUUUCGCAACUUCGACAUAUUUGUUUUCAUCUCGUGGCCUCGGGUGCUGUUUCCUUGAAAGAAAAUGCCCUGAGUUCCGUAUUUAACUGUGUAUUGACACUGAAAGUUGACACCCUCCAUCUUGUUCAUCCCCCCUGUGGUUCUAUUGUCGGGUACAUCCGCAACACGGCACAUGUGGAUUUCCUCCCAGCUGCGGAUAAAUGCUGAUACUUUGGCUCAGCCCCAACCGCAACAAAUACAUCGCAACAUGGACUUUCUCUUGUGGUGCAAAGGAAUCUGUCACCUGACCCAAGCGACCCCACCCCCUCCAACCCCCCAAAAAGAAAAAAAAAGUACAGCACUUCCUUCACCUCACCUUGAUAAAGCCAAAUGACUCAUUCAGCAUCUGCUUCCUCAAGGCUCUGGAAUAUGUCAAGCUCUAAUCAGAAAGAUUUGGACGCAUACGAAUGGAAGUCAUGGAAUUAUUUUGGAAUUUUCCGCCUCUUACUUUCUAGCAUAUAAGAAUAAAGAUGAAAAGAUCAAGUCAACAACAAAGUCAAUAAAAA